rnacentral:rRNA from 1 species
GAUGAACGCUGACAGAAUGCUUAACACAUCAGCAAGUGAUUGGUGGCGGACGGGAGAGUAACGCGUAAAGAACUUGCCUCACAGGUAGGGACAACAUCUGGAAACGAAUGCUAAUACCUAAUACUGUGAGAGAGCUUUGCGUCCCAUUCGCUGGUUGGAGAGGUAACGGCUGACCAAGGCGAUGAUGGGUAGCCGGCCUGAGAGGGUGAUCGGCCACAAGGCAACUGGUGCACGGCCCUUACUCCUACGGGAGGCGGCAAUGGGGAAUAGUGGUCAAUGGGCCAAAGUGUGAUCCAGCAAUUCUGUGUGCACGAUGAAGUUUUCGGAAUGGAAAGUGCUUUCAGUUGGGAAGCGGUACCAACAGAAGAAUUGACGGCUAAAUACGUGCCAGCAGCCGCGGUAAUAC